AGUGAACGCUGGCGGUAGGCCUAACACAUGCAAGUCGAACGGCAGCACAGUAAGAGCUUGCUCUUACGGGUGGCGAGUGGCGGACGGGUGAGGAAUACAUCGGAAUCUACUUUUUCGUGGGGGAUAACGUAGGGAAACUUACGCUAAUACCGCAUACGACCUACGGGUGAAAGCAGGGGAUCUUCGGACCUUGCGCGAUUGAAUGAGCCGAUGUCGGAUUAGCUAGUUGGCGGGGUAAAGGCCCACCAAGGCGACGAUCCGUAGCUGGUCUGAGAGGAUGAUCAGCCACACUGGAACUGAGACACGGUCCAGACUCCUACGGGAGGCAGCAGUGGGGAAUAUUGGACAAUGGGCGCAAGCCUGAUCCAGCCAUACCGCGUGGGUGAAGAGGGCCUUCGGGUUGUAAAGCCCUUUUGUUGGGAAGGAAAAGCAGCAGGUUAAUACCCCGCUGUUCUGACGGUACCCAAAGAAUAAGCACCGGCUAACUUCGUG
rnacentral:rRNA from 1 species